CACUUGUUGCCUCGGCGGAUCAGCCCGCUCCCGGUAAAACGGGACGGCCCGCCAGAGGACCCCUAAACUCUGUUUCUAUAUGUAACUUCUGAGUAAAACCAUAAAUAAAUCAAAACUUUCAACAACGGAUCUCUUGGUUCUGGCAUCGAUGAAGAACGCAGCAAAAUGCGAUAAGUAAUGUGAAUUGCAGAAUUCAGUGAAUCAUCGAAUCUUUGAACGCACAUUGCGCCCGCCAGUAUUCUGGCGGGCAUGCCUGUUCGAGCGUCAUUUCAACCCUCAAGCACAGCUUGGUGUUGGGACUCGCGUUAAUUCGCGUUCCUCAAAUUGAUUGGCGGUCACGUCGAGCUUCCAUAGCGUAGUAGUAAAACCCUCGUUACUGGUAAUCGUCGCGGCCACGCCGUUAAACCCCAACUUCUGAAUGUUGACCUCGGAUCAGGUAGGAAUACCCGCUGAACUUAAGCAUAUCAAUAAGUCGGAGGAA
rnacentral:rRNA from 1 species